AUUGAACGCUGGCGGCAGGCCUAACACAUGCAAGUCGAGCGGAUGAAGGGAGCUUGCUCCUGGAUUCAGCGGCGGACGGGUGAGUAAUGCCUAGGAAUCUGCCGGGUAGUGGGGGAUAACGUCCGGAAACGGGCGCUAAUACCGCAGACGUCCUGAGGGAGAAAGUGGGGGAUCUUCGGACCUCACGCUAUCAGAUGAGCCUAGGUCGGAUUAGCUAGUUGGUGGGGUAAGGCCUACCAAGGCGACGAUUCGUAACUGGUCUGAGAGGAUGAUCAGUCACACUGGAACUGAGACACGGUCAAGACUACUACGGGAGGCAGCAGUGGGGAAUAUUGGACAAUGGGCGGAAGCCUGAUCCAGCCAUGCCGCGUGUGUGAAGAAGGUCUUCGGAUUGUAAAGCACUUUAAGUUGGGAGGAAGGGCAGUAAGUUAAUACCUUGCUGUUUUGACGUUACCAGCAGAAUAAGCACCGGCUAACUUCGUG
rnacentral:rRNA from 1 species